ACGGCUAUACCAUGCAGAAUAUACCGAUUCUCGUUCGAUCACCGAAGUCAAGCUUCAUUGGGCGCUAUAAGGUUGAGUGGUGACCACCUGGGAACACCGCG